AUGGAUGGCGGGCCUAGCUCGAGCUCAUCUUUUGAGUGGUGGCCUGAUACUCUACGGCGACAGUCAUUGGUACAUGGUUGUGCGGUUGCUGUUACACAUGAAGCAUCCGUGGAUUCACUGCCAGGAUGGAAGGAACGGGCGGCAGUGGAACAUGAUCUGGGUAUUUGGAACGUCUACAUGAAGGGGGUUCACCUUUUCUCUCUUGGUUCUUUUCUUCUUUCAUGUUUGCUGCAGUUUCAUGCGUGCAAGCAGCCCGGAGAACGUGGAUCAAGUACAAGUAGUAUUGGUAAUUAUGUGUGCAAGCAACGUUCUUUUCCUAAAUUAGACAUAUAUUGUUCUAUAUAUGUAGCUAGCGCUUAUAGAGCAUGA
rnacentral:rRNA from 1 species